AGAACGAACGCUGGCGGCAGGCCUAACACAUGCAAGUCGAACGCUCCAGCAAUGGAGAGUGGCAGACGGGUGAGUAACGCGUGGGAACCUUCCCUAUGGUUCGGAAUAGCUCAGGGAAACUUGGGGUAAUACCGGAUAAGCCCUUCGGGGGAAAGAUUUAUCGCCAUUGGAUGGGCCCGCGUCGGAUUAGCUAGUUGGUGGGGUAACGACCCACCAAGGCAACGAUCCGUAGCUGGUCUGAGAGGAUGAUCAGCCACACUGGGACUGAGACACGGCCCAGACUCCUACGGGAGGCAGCAGUGGGGAAUAGUUGGAACAAGUGGGCGCAAGCCUGAUCCAGCCAUGCCGCGUGAGUGACGAAGGUCUUCGGAUUAGUAAAACUUCGUUUUGGCGGGGACGAGUAAAUGGACGGUACCGCAGAAUAACGCCCGACUAACUCGCGCCAGCAGCCGC
rnacentral:rRNA from 1 species